GUCUAAGAGGAGGAGUAUUGGAGAGACCAUCUCUCUACAAGUUGAAGUGGAAUCCAGAAAUAGCCCUGAGAAAGAAGAGAGAGCACCAGCUGAAGAGAUCACUUAUGAAACCCUCAAGAAAGCAAUUGUCGACAGCGUAGCUGUAGAAGAACAAGAGAGGGAAAGGAGACGGCAGGUGGUUGAAAAAUUCCAGAAAGCUCCUUUUGAAGAAAUUGCAGCUCAUUGUGGGGCCC